AUGCACGCUGGCGGCGUGCCUAAUACACGCAAGUCGAGCGAACAGACGAGGAGCUUGCUCCUCUGACGUUAGCGGCGGACGGGUGAGUAACACGUGGAUAACCUACCUAUAAGACUGGGAUAACUUCGGGAAACCGGAGCUAAUACCGGAUAAUAUAUUGAACCGCAUGGUUCAAUAGUGAAAGACGGUUUUGCUGUCACUUAUAGAUGGAUCCGCGCCGCAUUAGCUAGUUGGUAAGGUAACGGCUUACCAAGGCAACGAUGCGUAGCCGACCUGAGAGGGUGAUCGGCCACACUGGAACUGAGACACGGUCCAGACUCCUACGGGAGGCAGCAGUAGGGAAUCUUCCGCAAUGGGCGAAAGCCUGACGGAGCAACGCCGCGUGAGUGAUGAAGGUCUUCGGAUCGUAAAACUCUGUUAUUAGGGAAGAACAAAUGUGUAAGUAACUAUGCACGUCUUGACGGUACCUAAUCAGAAAGCCACGGCUAACUACGUG
rnacentral:rRNA from 1 species